rnacentral:rRNA from 1 species
UACAGCCACAUCAUGUUGAAACACUGGUUCCUAUACAAUCACCAACGUUAAGCAUUGUUGACCCUGGUCAGUAUCUAGAUGGGUGACUGCUUGGGAAUACCAGGUGCUGUAAG